UGUGUGUGUGUCGUGUAUGUGAGGUCGGUCUUAGCUCAGUGAUGCUGCUCACUUUGGAUAACGUGUUGCUCAGGUGACAGUCGCCAGUGCGCGUCCCACGUACUGUUCCUACUACCCAGUGCUGUGAACAUGAUAAUACAAGUUGUUGUGUUGGUUUUUGUUUUUAUUUGUGGUGUCAGUCGGUGUGAAAAGGAUACUUUGAUGGAAGAUAAAGUGUCUAUUAUGGAGGCGGAAGCAGUCAUGGAGGGGGUGGCCAAGCUACCAUGUGAUCUUUCUAUCCCUGAGCCAUCGGACGUGGUGACGUUGGUGAUAUGGUACAAGGGUGGUACGAGAACGCCAAUUUACAGCUUAGACAUACGAGACCGGCAGUUGUCGGAUGGCUCGCACUGGUCCGAGAAACGUAUCCUCGGAGGUCGAGCGUACUACACGACCGAGCCUCCCUACUCCUUCCUGAUACUGGAGAGCAUCAAGGAGUCAGACGCGGGUGUGUACCGCUGCCGAGUAGACUUCAAGGUCUCGCCUACAAGGAACUCCCUGGUCAACCUCACCGUCAUAGUUCCACCGAAGAAAAUUGUUCUAACAGACUCGACGGGUAAUGCCAUACACACGUCGAAUAUUGGCCCUCUGCAUGAGGGAGAUAUCUUAAAGCUUACCUGCGUUGCGUCUGGGGGCCAUCCAGAGCCCGAAGUGACGUGGUGGAGGGAUGGUAUUCUCGUGGAUACGUCCAGCGAUGUGCUAUCAAACCGCAGGGUUCGCAACUCUUACGCUCUGGAAGGAUUACAGAGGGAGGACCUGAACAGUCGCCUUACCUGUCAGGCCUCCAACAGUCCUCAGCUCGCUCCACUCUCCGCCACUGUCACCAUCGACCUGUACUUGGGACCUCUAGAAGUGCGGCUAAUUGGGCCGAACACUGCCUUGAGUGCAGACCAAGAACACGAAGUGACGUGCAGAAGUGCCGGCUCCAGACCACCCGCCACUAUCACAUGGUGGAAGGGAGGGAAACUGCUCAACUACCCGUCCAAAGUUACUACAAGUGGAGAAGGAAACGUGACAACCAGUGUCCUGGAGCUGAAGGUGGUGAGGAAGGAUGCAGGAGUUCCGUUGUCCUGCAGGGCUACCAACCCCCACGUACCUGGUAGUGCGCUGGAGGACUCAUGGACUCUGGACGUGAACUAUGUGCCAAUAGUAGACAUUCGACUAGGGAGCAAUAUCAAUGCGUCCUACAUCAGAGAGGGAAUGGACGUGUACUUUGAGUGUCAAGUGGAAGCCAACCCUCGCAUACGAAAACUGAUUUGGAUUCAUAAUGGCAUGAUGGUGUACAACAACGCCAGUACUGGCACUAUCAUUACCAACCACACACUUGUACUACAGUCCGUCAGUAGGAACAGCUCUGGCCUAUACUCUUGUGUAGCAACAAACUCUGAGGGGGACGGCGAGAGCAAGCCUUUCGACCUCAAUGUCAAAUUUGAGCCAGAAUGUCUGGGAAGUCAACAGCGUGUGUACGGCGCGGCGAGGAUGGAGGAGAUCUCUAUAACAUGUGACGUGGAGGCCAACCCUCCUGCGGCUUGGUUCCAUUGGAGCUUUAACAACUCGGCAGUGCGAGCUCGUGGCGUGGACUCCUUCCAGAGUAUCGGGGGCGGUGGUCGUAGCGUCGCCAGGUACACUCCCCUCACUGACGCUGACUACGGCACGCUGCUGUGCUGGGGCAGGAACGAACUGGGCUCUCAGUACUUACCUUGUGUUUUUCACAUCGUUCCUGCAGGUAAACCAGACCCACCAUAUAACUGCAGUGUUGCAUCAGUCAGCCUAAGCAUGGCGAACGUGAGCUGCGAGAGAGGGUUUGACGGAGGUUUACCUCAGGAGUUCCAAGCCGAGGUGUGGGUCCGAGGCCGCCUCACAGCCAACCUCACCAACAGAGACGCUCCAGAGUUUAGUCUGACAGAACUGGAGCCAGGGACCUCAUAUGACGUCACAGUAUACUCCAGCAAUGGCAAGGGACGUAGUCACCGAGGGACGCAGAUCACGGCAGCCACACAAGAUCCGGGAACUACUCUCCUGCCUAGUAGAAGCGCAGAUGAGGAGAGCCUACUGAACGUAGAGGAGCUGAUCCUAUUGGCUGUUGGGUCGGCUCUAGGCGUGUUGCUUGUGGCUGUCAUCGUGUUGAGCGUGUUGAAGCUGAGACGAUCUCCUCCUCAACCUACACUGAACAAGAAAGUGACUCAGAUACUCGCGGUCGCCACUCCGUCCUCUAACAUUGACGACGACAGGAACCCCGACGUCAUUCCGCAGAAAGAUGUCGAUAACUCCGUGACUCAAGAGAUUGACAUGAGGGAUAUGAGAUGUGAAGAUCCUCAACCUCCAGGCUGGGAGACGUCUAUUUGCAUCACACCUCUCAAUCCUUACCACGCCCCGAGGCACAAAGGGAUGAAGACCCCAGGACUGUGGGAAGGAACCCUAUGGUCUAAAAGUCAAGAUUUGAACGCUCUGAGGCACGUGGAAACCCAGACCCUCCAGAAUGCAAGCAGACCAAAGGAGAGUGCCGUCUAGCAGGUGGCCAGCCGCUCGACGGGCUUUGAUCAAACCGAUGUCUGAGCCGAUGCUGAUCCGGGAGAUCAAUCUCUCAGGAUAUUGAGAAGUGCCUUCCUGCAUUUCCCCAGUAUUGAAGACGCAUUUUGAGAUAGGUAAGGAUGUUUACGCUCACGUAACCACGGUGAAAAUUCAAGAUGCUGGCCUAAGCAGAUGAUAUGAAUGUUGCUGAAUCGAAUUUACUAAUUAUAACUAUAUGUCAGAGUUUAUAGCUGUUUAAACUGUCAACCGUUCUCAAUAACAUAAUCUUCCUAUGUACGCAUUGUUAAGGACUGUUCUAUUCAUGCGGAUUUGUUUUCCAAAUCAGUUAUUACCUCAGGAGCUCUAUGUAAUAUUAUAAACUUCAUUCACUUGUUAAUGUAGUUAACUUUUAUAUAUCUAUAU